rnacentral:rRNA from 1 species
UUAUGGCUCAGGAUGAACGCUGGCGGCGUGCUUAACACAUGCAAGUCGAACGAAGCAUUCCAACUCUCGGAGGAAGAAAUGACUGAGUGGCGGACGGGUGAGUAACGCGUGGGUAACCUGCCUUAUACAGGGGGAUAACAGUUAGAAAUGACUGCUAAUACCGCAUAACCCGCUAGUACCGCAUGGUACAGACGGAAAAGAUUUAUCGGUAUAAGAUGGACCCGCGUCUGAUUAGCUAGUUGGUGAGGUAAUGGCUCACCAAGGCGACGAUCAGUAGCCGGCUUGAGAGAGUGAACGGCCACAUUGGGACUGAGACACGGCCCAAACUCCUACGGGAGGCAGCAGUGGGGAAUAUUGCACAAUGGGGGAAACCCUGAUGCAGCAACGCCGCGUGAAGGAAGAAGUAUUUCGGUAUGUAAACUUCUAUCAGCAGGAAAGAAAAUGACGGUACCUGACUAAGAAGCCCCGGCUAACUACGUGCCAGCAGCCGC